GAUGAACGCUGGCGGCGUGCCUAAUACAUGCAAGUCGAGCGAACAGACGAUGAGCUUGCUCCUCUGACGUUAGCGGCUGACGGGUGAGUAACACGUGGAUAACCUACUUCUAUUACUUGGAUAACUUCGGGAAACCGGAUCUAAUACCGGAUAAUAUAUUGAACCGCAUGGUUCAAUAGUGAAAGACGGCUUUGCUGUCACUUAUAGACGGAUCCGCGCCGCAUUAGCUAGUUGGUAAGGUAACGGCCUACCAAGGCAACGAUGCGUAACCGAGCUGAGAAGGUGGUCCGCCAACACGGAACUGGGACACGGUCCCAAAUCCUAAGGGAGGCAACAGUAGGGAAUCAUCCGCAAUUGGCGGAAACCUGACGGCACAACGCCGCGUGGGUGAUGGAGGUCUUCGGAGCGGAAAACUCUGUUAGUAGGGAAGAAAAAGUGUGAAAGUAACUCUGCGCGGUUUGACGGUAACUAAUAAGAUAGGCACGGCUAACUACGUG
rnacentral:rRNA from 1 species